UUUGUAAAAUAUUCGCAAUUAAUUAGAAAGCAAAUUAUUUAGAAAAACAAUUAGGCUAAAAUGAUUGUUAAACAUUGAACGAGCACAAGGCAGGAAUUAUUAAUAACUUGAAACUACACGACGUCCGCGAUAGCCGAUAAAAAUUUCAGGACCGGAAGAUUUAAUUGCAGACAGAUGGCAACGUAUCAAAUGUGGAUCGGUAAACGGUUUGAGAGGAUUGCGUUUGUUUCAAGAUUAGAAUAGACAUUUUUUUUUAUCGUUAACACACUCUCCAGGAUUAAAUUUUGAUUUUUGGAACUUUGACUCGUUCUACAAAUAUUUUCCUCGAGGAAGAUAUUUGAUACUUUUUACAAAAUUCUUUUACAAAAUAGAUAUAUCUUUUUUAAUUUUUCUACUUCCUAACAUAAAAAAUCAUGUUUCUUCACAAACAGUGUUCUUCUCUUAAAAAGAAAUUAUCAAUUAAUCCGUCCACUCCAACCUGGUGUUUUUCACGAUUAAGUUUCUCUUGUCCAACUUUUAAGAUUUAAUUCUUUCUGUUAUGCCUGAUUUAUCGAGGUGUGUCUCCCUCCUUCGUAUCAAAGGUUCUCAUUGUGUGUACUGGUUAUUCACUUUUUACGAUAUAAAAUAUAAAACUAACAGCCCGAUUGGAAUUCAUUAACACGUUCGUUGACAGUGGCGGAUAAGGUUGCAUAGAUUUAAUUAUCGUUGUAAUACUGCUGAGACGUGAUCAUUGCAGUUUGCUUUUGCGCAGUCUGAUAAAAAGGACGACGAAUGUAGCGUUAUUUAUAUAAAAAAAAAAAAAAAAAAAAAAAAAAUACUGUAUUCAAAAAUCCGUUAUACGUAAAAUAAGCAUAACAUAAUU